UUAAGCACAGCUACGUGCUCAGUUUACCCAGCAUUCAUAAAGAAGGUUAAGGGAAAAGACCUCUCGAAAAGUGCUAGUUAUGUAUUCUGGAAGUAGCCUGCAGGGCUUCGAGAAUCUUUUCUUUCAUUGAGCAGGUCCCUAUAAAAGCACGAGAGGACGCAACGCAAACAUAGUUGUCUCGAGUAUAGACCACGCCACUCGUGUCGAUUAGUCUUGUAUCACCGUUCACCUACAAGGUCCAAGAACACCACGAUGAAGACAACGGUGCUGAUACUGGCCGUCCUUCUUAUCUCAGCAGUGAUGCUGACGGAGGGGUCUCCGGCUAAACCUUCAACAUCCGGUUCCCGGAAGGCUUCGCGAGGCGAGAAAUGUGGGAACCAGUACUGCCAGCCAAAUGAGAAAUGUGAGGCAACCUAUUUGGGGCUUUAUUGCACGAUUAAAUAAUACAAGUAGAAGACCCAUGGAUGGACACCAACGAGAUCGACCUGCUUGGCUGCGGAAUAAAGUUACUUGCGUUCACCGA